UUGGCUUAGAAGCAGCCAUCCUUGAAAGAGUGCGUAAUAGCUCACUGGUCAAGUGGUUCUGCGCCGACAAUGUAGCGGGGCUCAAGCGUACCGCCGAAGCUGUGGCAACAACACGUAAUGCUGGCGCCAGGAACUGGAGUGCUGGUGUGUUGUUGGGUAGGGGAGCGUCCUGCACGAGGUGAAGCCUGGAGGGAACUUCUGGUGGAUUGUGUGGGAGUGAGAAUGCAGGCAUGAGUAACGAAUCUGCGGUGAGAAUCCGCAGCGCCGAUUGACUAAGGGUUCCAGGGCUAGGUUUAUCCGCCCUGGGUUAGUCGGGUCCUAAGGCGAGGCCGACAGGCGUAGUCGAUGGACAACCAGUUGAUAUUCUGGUACCGCGUUAUGACCGCCCAUGCUGAAGUCAUUGUGCUAACCAAUUUGCUCACGCCACUCUUAAGCCUUCGGGUUUUUGGGUGUGUGUGGGUCUUGGGGCCCCGGUGAUUGUAGGCAAGCGUGUUAACAGGGGUGACGCAGACAGGUAGCUGCAGUGCGCCGAUGGUUGUGCGUAUUUAAGGUUGUGGCCCGCCUCCCAGGCAAAUCCGGGGGGCAUGUGGGUGAGAACUGAUGAGGGACACACGCGUGUGUGGACUUGUGGUGAUCCUAAGCUGCCGAGAAAAGCCUCGACGUGAGGGCAUAACGCGCCCGUACCCUAAACCGACUCAGGUGGUCAGGUAGAGUAUACCGAGGCGUUCGAGUGAAUCGUGGUUAAGGAACUCGGCAAAAUUCCUCCGUAACUUCGGGAUAAGGAGGACCCCGUGACUUCCCAGUGCCUUGCAUGCUGGUGGGGUUGUGGGGUCGCAGAGAAUAGGGAGAAGCGACUGUUUAUCAAAAACACAGGUGCGUGCGAAGCCGUAAGGCGAUGUAUACGCACUGACGCCUGCCCGGUGCUGGAAGGUUAAGAGGAACCGUCAACACCCCCCGGGGUGUGAAGCGGUGAAUUUAAGCCCCAGUAAACGGCGGUGGUAACUAUAACCAUCCUAAGGUAGCGAAAUUCCUUGUCGGGUAAGUUCCGACCUGCACGAAUGGCGUAACGACUUCUCCGCUGUCUCAACCGCGAACUCGGUGAAAUUGCAGUACGAGUAAAGAUGCUCGUUUCGCGCAGAAGGACGGAAAGACCCCGGGACCUUUACUAUAGCUUGGUAUUGGUGUUCGCUUGGACUUGUGUAGGAUAGGUGGGAGACUGUGAAGCUGCCGCGCCAGCGGUGGUGGAGUCGUCGUUGAAAUACCAUUCUGGUUCAAGCGGUCACCUCAACCUUGGCCCGUGAUCCGGGUUGGGGACAGUGCCUGGUGGGUAGUUUAACUGGGGCGGUUGCCUCCUAAAAUGUAACGGAGGCGCUCAAAGGUUCCCUCAGCCUGGUUGGUAAUCAGGUGGCGAGUGCAAGUGUACAAGGGAGCUUGACUGUGAGACCGACGGGUCGAGCAGGUGCGAAAGCAGGAACUAGUGAUCCGGCCAUGGCACGUGGGUGCGUGGUCGCUCAACGGAUAAAAGGUACCCCGGGGAUAACAGGCUGAUCUUGCCCAAGAGUCCAUAUCGACGGCAUGGUUUGGCACCUCGAUGUCGGCUCGUCGCAUCCUGGGGCUGGAGUCGGUCCCAAGGGUUGGGCUGUUCGCCCAUUAAAGCGGUACGCGAGCUGGGUUCAGAACGUCGUGAGACAGUUCGGUCCCUAUCCUCUGUGCGCGCAGGAAAUUUGAGAAGGGCCGUCCCUAGUACGAGAGGACCGGGAUGGACGAACCUCUGGUGUGCCAGUUGUACCGCCAGGUGCAUGGCUGGUUGGCUACGUUCGGAAGGGAUAACCGCUGAAAGCAUCUAAGCGGGAAGCCUGCUUCAAGAUGAGGUUUCCACGCCCCCCCGUGGGGUGAGAGGCCCCCGCCAGACUAGCGGGUUGAUAGGCCAGAGGUGGAAGCACAGCAAUGUGCUCGUGAGCCGACUGGUACUAAUGGGCCAACACUAAACAAC
rnacentral:rRNA from 1 species